rnacentral:lncRNA from 1 species
GUGAGAGUUGGCGGCGGGAGAAGGGUGGAGGAGCAUAGUUGAAGGCGGGGGAGGUUUUAUAGGGGCGAGGGGGAAGCGAAGGUGACACAGGUGGAAGGGGAGAAGGCAAGAGGCGGCUGGCCAUUGAUGGCGGCGGUGGUGGUGAAGCGGCAGUUACGGGUGGGGACAGGAAGCGAAGGGGCGGCGGCGUGCGCGUGGGAGGCGGAGGGACGCGGGGAGGGUGAGCGUCGCGGAUGCGGGAGGCCGAGCAGCACAACACACGGGGUGGUGCCGGCCGAAGGUAGGGGGUGGCCCUGACGGGUGGGGUCACCCUGUCGGUGAGGAAGAGAUGGGGAGAGGGGAGGUGGGCCGGGCUGGCGGAAGGAAAAAAGGGCCGGUGGCCUGCUGUUGGGCUGGGCCAGAAAAUGAAAAAGGAGGCCGGGAUGGGUUGGGCUAGAGAAAGAGGAAAAAGAGGUUGAGGGGGUUUUCUCUUCUCUUUCUCUUUUUUUUUAAAUUUUGCAAACACAACUCAAAUAAAACCAAUGCAAACGAAAUGCAUGCAUCAACCACUUAUUGAUUCUAAAGUUAUUUCAAGUGUUAUUUAAAUUAUUAAAGGCUGAGAUUUAUUUAAAAAAUUUAUUAAUUCCUUAGAAAUCUAGAUCGACACAAGCUACUUACAUUGUUGUUGUGAUGGAAUUUUGGGUGUUCACAUAGUCCUUAUCCUUUUUUGAGGUAAGCUUCAGAUGUGUUUCGUAAGUUUUAUAGCUGUCAGCCUGCAUGAAACAUAAUUCAUGAAUAAUUACGAACUUUAAUGGCAAUGAUUGUAAAAUAAUAAUGUCAAUAAUUUUAACAAUAUAGGAAAUGCCCAUUGUGUCAAGCAUUAAGCGUGGAAGCAUUAACAAUAGGGAGCUUUUCUUCUCCUCCUUCCUGAUUCCUCCUUUUCUUCCUC